rfam:Bosea sp. Leaf344 contig_2, whole genome shotgun sequence.
CGCUGGUCCUCCAAAGACCAGCACCGAAGAGGCUUGUCCUUCAUUGCCGGGCGUGCGGGGUCUUCCCAAGCGACGGUUCCAGGGUCCGGACGAUCUGUUCGGCGACUCAAGGCGUCUCCAUCGCGCCUCGAUUCGUUGACGCAUCAC